AAUUAGAACCGUACCUCAAAUUGGGUGGUGUAGCUGGUCUAGUUCAUCUAUGGCUUCCCCCAAACUAUAGCUUCAUAAGUUUUUUUCUCACAACCAUCAUUCGCUACCCUUUCAAUUUAAUACAUUGUACCUGCAACCAUCUGCUCCAGAAAUGAAUUCCACAGACCUCAAAACCAUGAAUUUCACCCCAAACUUGAAACCUUAAAAUCAUAAAUACAAAGAUACGGUACCUUCAUGAUGGCAAAUUGAAGAAACUUGUCGAUAUCAUUCUGUUCUGAAGUUAACUCCCUUGGGGUCGCCAUCGUCACAAAAAAUAGGUUAAAAGAAAACAACGAAAAUCGAUCUAACUGUGAAAGACACAUGUAAUUGAAGCAAUGAUUACCAGAAUUCUUGCCAGAGUUAAACAGAGACCAGUCACAACCGUAGCUCUCGCCACCUCCAUCUUGUUACUGUAAGCAUACCCACCAGCUGAACAGCCAAUUUAGACCACCAAAUCAACAACAAUUCCAAUGAUUCUAUUUAAUGAACACUCAAAUGUGAAAAAAUUAAGCUAAAGUACCUAUUGGAGCCCUAAUAUUCUGACGAAAACCAUCGCCUGGUCUGUGGUGUGAUGUCGCCGACUUCGAUUUGGGCAGAACGACAACGUCGGUGAUAGGGCAGUUGACGACAACAACAGGGCGACUUAUAGACGUGUUGAUGGCGGAGGACGGCGACAAGGGUCUGACGACUAUGAGGGAUCUUAUUGCGGACGCUCUACGGUUCUACUCUAAGGUAUGCAAGUGACCGGUGUUAUCAUCACUUGAUCCGUCUAGUUUCGGUCUCCAUUACUCGCAAAUUAGCUUAGAAAGUUUAGAUCCGGAUGAAAAGUCGAUCCAGUUAGGUUCAAGGAAUUUUUUCCUUUGUCCUAAGCGAACUGCGAACGCCACAUCAUCAUCUACUUGCUCGGAGGAAGCAGAAAAUUUGACGAAAUUUAAUGCGCAUUGGCUUCGAUUCAUGAACUUUUCCUUUGUCCUAAGCGAACUGCGAACGCGACAUCAUCAUCUACCUGUUCGGAGGAAGCAGAAAAUUUGACGAAAUUAGCUUAGAAAGUUUAGAUCCGGAUGAAAAGUUGAUCCAGUUAGGUUCAAGGAAUUUUUUCCUUUGUCCUAAGCGAACUGCGAACGCGACAUCAUCAUCUACUUGCUCGGAGGAAGCAGAAAAUUUGACGAAAUUUAAUGCGCAUUGGCUUCGAUUUAUGAACUUUUCGCAGUAAGAAUAUUUGAUAUUAUAUUAUAUGUUAGGCGAAUUAAUAUGCCCAUACCAAUUUCAAGUUGUUGUCAAGUUAAGAACGAUCGACUAUUAGUAUUGUAUAGUGGCAAAGAUGUUUCAUAUGUAAACUAUGGCCCAAAUAGCGACACUUGGUCGCCUCGCUACAUAGCGCGCUAUAGCCGCUAUUGACAAGUGACAACUAUGAUGAUAAUCAUGAGUAACUUCAUCCUGAAGUGACUUUGGUUAUGUGUUAUCCAUUUGAGAUUUAUCAUUGUCCAGGUUUGGUAAUAUAUUUGGCUAUAAUGUACAUAUAGGAGAACAAUUAUAAAAACAUGACUACACACCCUGGUGUAAAAGCAAAAAUGAUUCAAAUGCCUUGCCAAGUCAUAGAGUAUGAUUACAUACCCGCAACGGUUGCAUACUAAACGCCUGCCUAGUCCCUUUUACCAUUCAGCAUAACAACCCACUCACCUGUCGACAUGUAGAAACACAACCAAGGAUCAUACCGUCAUCAAAAACUAAUAUUUAAAGGUAGAUUGGACUGUGAAACAAAUAUACAACAAUCAAUAGUACAAAGGCUUUAAAAUCAGGCCUAACUGAGAAAUUUUGGGUAGAGUGCAUACCUUCAUGUCACUGAAAGUAUUUGUUGCUGAAAACUACACAUAAGUUGGGAAGAAGACCGAGGUUAGAGUUAUCAAUGAGAAGUAUAGAGCAGACUACUAUCAAGCUUUUAGAACCAAAACUACAUUUGGGAAUAAUAAAACACGUUGUUUUAUAAAUUUAAGAAGGAAAUGAUUGUACAUGUAUGUAUGUGCUGGUUGUGGUUGUGUAACAACAUCAAUCAAUAACAAUGUAACCGGACAAGUAU